rnacentral:rRNA from 1 species
AGGAGCACGGCGCGUGAAGGAAGAAAGGCCUUCGGGUUGUAAAACUCUUUUGGCAGGGAAGACAAGUACCUGAGUACUGCUAGUACCUGGAGGGUCUCUAAACAGAAGGCCCGGCUUACUACAUGCCAGCAGCCGCGAAAAUAA